AAAAAGUAGUCAACUAGGUCCGACAUCAUCGACCAGUUCCUUGCAUAUCCCAACCUAUUCUGAUUCACAAAAUGCUGAAGCACUUCCGCUCUUCCAGAAAUAAUAGCAAGAUAUAAAAGGCAGCAACUAAACUAAAGGAAUACACAACUGAUACAUGUGAUAGGUUGGGAUAACGGUACUCACUGAUACAGAGCCUUUUGGUCUUAUAAAGCUAUGCUGAAGGAAUCUUCAACGAGUAAGAGUGAUGGGGCUUGUGAGAAGUUUGAGCGUCCUAAAUGUCUUCUAUUUAGGCUAGCUUCCUCUUGGACCACGAGGUGAUCAAGAUCUGGAGUUACAGCUACCUCUUUCCUCCGAUCGCCGCCGACCUUGUGAAGAAGACGAAGGAGGUGAAGUUAGUUUUGCCUAUUUUAUUAUUUUUCAUUUGAAGAAA
rnacentral:misc_RNA from 1 species